CACUGGAGAAGAAGAGAACAUGGACAGAGAAGACAUUAAGAUGCUGGUCAAGAAAUGGUGGGACA
rnacentral:sRNA from 1 species